rnacentral:lncRNA from 1 species
UGCAAGACCUUCCAGCUCUAUUCCAGUCUUCAUUAAAUCAUCACUGAAUACAAAGAAGUGAAUUGCACUGGAUUAGUCAAGUGUCUGCAUGGAUUUCUAAGGAAUGAGAGCGAUCGUGGUCAUCUGCAAGGAAUCAGUUUUCAAAGAAGCAUUUGAUGGACUGACACCCACUGGAGCCAGGGACAAGAUGAAAUGCACUCAUUCAAAGCAGAUUAGGACUUACUGUUCUGGAAAUCAACUGAGUUUUGAAGAGGCUGAUGAAGCUGAAUUCCAAAGCUACCAAUCUGUUUUUUAAACUGUGUUGGGAUUCAGACUGGCAAUAGCAAAAAGGGGUUUUUACACCACAGAGUGGUCAUCCCUAUCUGACAACGAUGGAAAACUGUGACUGUUCAAUAGCUGUUGAUGGUUCUUUUACAAGGGAUUAAUGUGAUGCCUACUGAGUGACACAGGGCCUUGCUCUCAUCACGAGAUUCCAAGGUACUGCUCUGUGAGGACCACAGCCAGCUGAGAACUGAAAGCUAUGGGAGAGUGUGGCAUGCUUUGUAGAGAGAGCAGCAGUAAGGAGAAAUGCUAAAUAUAUCAGACAAAUCAUCUCUUCUUUCAUUGAACAGCUCCGUUCAUGUCCUCUGAUCCUGUUGGUAAGAGCCUUGAAUUUAAUUUCUACUGUCCCCCACCCAAUAUUUCUCAUGCAUUUGUUAUAUAGCUUCCUGCAAUCUCAUUUAUUGCUCUCCAGAGCUUACAGAAUGUGUGCUUCCUGCAAACUUCAAUUUAUAUUUUCGCCAUUAACUAUAGAUACUCCUUUGUUUGCACACUUAGAGAACUUUCAGUAUUAAGUAUCGGUGUGUUAACAUGGAAGAAACUGAAAAGAAACUAUUUCUUGGUUGGAAUUGAUCGGGUUCUCAGCUGAACGGUUGCAUUUCAGGUUGUUGGAAUUACACAGAAGCAGCUCUUCCGUUUCCCAUUGGCUGUACUGUCUUUUCUGCGUAUCCAGGUUCAGAAGCAGCAAAGCCUUGGGUUUGGGUUUCCUUUUUCAUUUGUUCCCUUGAGGAAUGCUAGUAGGGAACAGUCAAGUGAACAAGAGCUGACGCUAGCUCUGCUUUAGAAACCAUUCAUGCUUUUCAGGUGUCCAGCUCCCGAACUACUCAGGGCAGGAGGGGAAAUGUAAACAUUGUGCUGUUAUUCAACCUACUACAUAAGAGCAUUGAGCCUGACAAGGCUCUGGGUACCCCCGUGCCCCAUCCUUGCCGAGAUCGGACGCCGAUAUCCCUCCUGCUGACAUGCAAUCCAGCAGCACA